CAGCCGCCACGGUAAUACAGAGGGUGCGAGCGUUAAUCGGAUUUACUGGGCGUAAAGCGUGCGUAGGCGGCUUUUUAAGUCGGAUGUGAAAUCCCUGAGCUUAACUUAGGAAUUGCAUUCGAUACUGGGAAGCUAGAGUAUGGGAGAGGAUGGUAGAAUUCCAGGUGUAGCGGUGAAAUGCGUAGAGAUCUGGAGGAAUACCGAUGGCGAAGGCAGCCAUCUGGCCUAAUACUGACGCUGAGGUACGAAAGCAUGGGGAGCAAACAGGAUUAGAGACCCCCGUAGUCCCUGUCUCUUAUAC
rnacentral:rRNA from 1 species